GACGAACGCUGGCGGCGUGCUUAACACAUGCAAGUCGAACGGAAAGGCCCUGCUUUUGUGGGGUGCUCGAGUGGCGAACGGGUGAGUAACACGUGAGUAACCUGCCCUUGACUGUGGGAUAACUUCAGGAAACUGGGGCUAAUACCGGAUAGGAGCUCCUGCUGCAUGGUGGGGGUUGGAAAGUUUCGGCGGUUGGGGAUGGACUCGCGGCUUAUCAGCUUGUUGGUGGGGUAGUGGCUUACCAAGGCUUUGACGGGUAGCCGGCCUGAGAGGGUGACCGGCCACAUUGGGACUGAGAUACGGCCCAGACUCCUACGGGAGGCAGCGGUGGGGAAUAUUGCACAAUGGGCGGAAGCCUGAUGCAGCGACGCCGCGUGCGGGAUGACGGCCUUCGGGUUGUAAACCGCUUUCGCCUGUGACGAAGCGUGAGUGACGGUACUGGGUAAAGAAGCACCGGCUAACUACGUG
rnacentral:rRNA from 1 species